rnacentral:rRNA from 1 species
AUUGAACGCUGGCGGCAUGCUUUACACAUGCAAGUCGAACGGCAGCGCGGGCUUCGGCCUGGCGGCGAGUGGCGAACGGGUGAGUAAUACAUCGGAACGUGCCCAGUAGUGGGGAUAGCUCGGCGAAAGCCGGAUUAAUACCGCAUACGACCUGAGGGUGAAAGCGGGGGAUCUUCGGACCUCGCGCUAUUGGAGCGGCCGAUGGCAGAUUAGCUAGUUGGUGGGGUAAAGGCCUACCAAGGCGACGAUCUGUAGCUGGUCUGAGAGGACGACCAGCCACACUGGGACUGAGACACGGCCCAGACUCCUACGGGAGGCAGCAGUGGGGAAUUUUGGACAAUGGGCGAAAGCCUGAUCCAGCAAUGCCGCGUGUGUGAUGAAGGCCUUCGGGUUGUAAAGCACUUUUGGCGGGAACGAAAAGGACUGUGCCAAUACCACGGUUCGAUGACGGUACCCGCAGAAUAAGCACCGGCUAACUACGUG